rnacentral:rRNA from 1 species
UGCGUAGGGGGCAAGCGUUGUCCGGAAUCAUUGGGCGUAAAGCGCGUGUAGGCGGCUCGGUAAGUCCGCUCUGAAAGUCCGGGGCUCAACCCCGGGAGGCGGGUGGAUACUGUCGAGCUAGAGUCCGGAAGAGGCGAGUGGAAUUCCUGGUGUAGCGGUGAAAUGCGCAGAUAUCAGGAGGAACACCAAUGGCGAAGGCAGCUCGCUGGGACGGUACUGACGCUGAGACGCGAAAGCGUGGGGAGCAAACAGG